GAAUGAAGAACGUAGUGAAAUGCGAUAAGUAAUGUGAAUUGCAGAAUUCAGUGAAUCAUCGAAUCUUUGAACGCACAUUGCGCCCGCUGGUAUUCCGGCGGGCAUGCCUGUUCGAGCGUCAUUUCAACCCUCAAGCUCUCCGGAGUUUGGUGUUGGGGCGCCUGGGGCUUUUCGACCUCAGGGCCCUCAAGUCCAUCGGCGGGACCGCCAGGACACUGAGCGCAGUAGUAUUAUUUCGCUCGGUAGGAUCUUCCACGGCGGGUCGAUCUGGCCGCUAAACCCCCCAAUUCUCACCAAAGGUUGACCUCGGAUCAGGUAGGAAUACCCGCUGAACUUAAGCAUAUCAAUAAGCGGAGGA
rnacentral:misc_RNA from 1 species